CCCCCCCCCACCACCUUUUGUGUCUCCCUGAACCUGACACGUGAAAUCCCGUUUCUAUCAGAGACGAAGCUGCCGGACAUAAAUCUACAAUACCUCACCGUCCCCUCCCCGUGACAAGCUUAUAAAGAACAGUAUUAUCCAGAACCACAUAAUAAGAGAAAAUAAUGGUGGAAGUGAGUCGCACCAACAACGGAAUCUUAGCAGACAGUUAAACAACAGCUGCGGAUCACUGCAGCAACAAGUGUACAAGGCAUUAACAGAUUCCAACACAGUGUGUAUUACAGUUCAUUGAGAAUGUAGUUCUCUCACUUUGCCCACACACAUGAACAGUCAUGUUAAACUGAAAAAAAAGUGUAUUGUGUGGAGUAUAUUACUACUCCCCCUCACGUGCAUUAUUCCUUUCCACGAAGCGCUUCGCCUCUUUCGGAUCAUCGAAGACCUUGGGUGCUUCACCAUCUCGCUGGUAGAUAUGGAGUCUUGCCGGGUAGCGCAGGGUGUGCUUGAUACCUCAAUCCCGUAAGAUCUGCAUUACGUCUCGGAAGGCACGGCGUUGAGUCAUCACCUUGCUGGUGUAAUCCGGGAAGAUCAAGAUUUUGCUACCUUUGUACUCCAUGGGCUGUUGUUUGCCCCGACGCAGGAUCAGUUCUUUCACUUGGAAGUGAUGGAUGCGGGCUAGUAUGGUACGCGGCUUGGUGCCCGCAGCUGGUGCCGGUUGGAGAGAGCGGUGCGCCCGGUCCACUUUCACCGGUUGUGGAAAAUGCUCCUCCCCGAGCUGCUUUGGGAUCAGUCUGGAAACAAACUCAGUCGGGUUACCUUCCUCUGCGCCCUCCUUUACGCCGACAAUCUUAAUGCUGUGCCUCCGGGAGCGGGCUUCUAGGUCCAGCACCUUGGUUUGGAGUUGGCUGCUAUGUUUCGUUAGCUCCGAGUACUUAGCUUCUAGCUCCUGCACACAUACAUCAAGGUCGCUGGUUGCUAGCUCUUGGUUAGCCACACGGGUCUGCAGGGCAGCUUGCGAGGCCACAAGCGACUGGAAGCUAGUUUCAAACGUGUCAAAGCGCUCAUUAAUGCCACGCAGAACCGAUUCAGACAUCUCCUUACAUAAUUCCCUGCACAUGGCGAAUGUUUUUUCGGGUGGUCCUUCCAGCGCAGCGGGGGGAUCACCUUGAUGGCCGCUGCUGGCGCCAGCACUAGCGGUAGCUCCGACAGUCUGGCUAUCGAUAGUUUUGCUUCUGCUGGAAAGACUUGGCUUCGACAUUUUUAAACUGUGUAGGUCUUGCGCUUAGGUAGAAAGGGUUGAAUCGUCUCGUGGGACUUUGAACUAUUAUUUGUGGUCAAAUUAUAGAUUUUUUAGGUCGCGGAGAGGAGCACUGACAAAACACGUCUACACCAUAAGCAUGUGCACUAGCGCCCCUAAUGUGUGUGGUCUUAUUUGUGAAAAUAAGACAAAUAGACUUGCUGAGAUUUGAGUUUUUUUGCAGUGUAUCUCUCAGCAGUCUCUGAGUAAAACUUCCUUCAUCGCUCUUGUCUUCCUCCUCCUCCCCCGAGGAGCGUACAGUACAUCAGCUCGCACACACCAUGCCCUCUUAUUCCUGACUCGUGGUAAAUUUAACUGAUACCAUCUCUUCUGUUGCUUUGGCAGAAACAGAACAUGACAGGAGCGUGCUCAGUUUGACACAUGGGCCCACACUAACACACACACAAACACAAACACACACACAAACACACACACACCCUGAACAGACGCUACACAUUUGUCUCUGCUACUAGACCAGAUGAGCUGGAGCUUAAAGGGCACGUGAACCUAUGCUCACAGACAUUUUUGUCAGUGUGUUACAGUAAUGUUAGAAAGGGUAUGAGGUAAAAUAUGAUAACAUACAUCUGUAUUUAUAGCCACGUCUCACCACAUUGGCCUGACCCGUGUUUCUGCUGCUAAACACAAAUGUGCAGGUCGGAAACCAGAAAAAUAACAACUGUAUUUAAAGAUUAAAAAAACAAUGAGCUCUAACACACCUUCCAACAGGAAGUAAACUUUGAUCAGAAGAACUAGAAUCAUUUAUAUCUUCGUUGCACAUUCAGGACUAAUAUUACUGUAUCCUGCAGGUGCAAACCUCCCUAAAACAACAUGACAAAAGUCUUUGAGACGGGUGAGAAAACACGGCUGCUACAGGCGACAGGAAGGCCCCCCAUCUUCGACCUUGGCACAAAAGUGGCUCAGAUGAGUCGGACAUCAAUCCCAGGGCCCUGCACCGUCUGUCCAGUCUGACAUUUACUGGCGAGGGGGCACACUGGUCAGAUGCUCAGGUAUUUUACCCUACAUUUCUCACAUCCUUGUCAAGUUAAACAAACAACCAGUGCCACAUGCAGAGUCCCAUAUAAGUCCUCUGAACAUGGUUACUGUCUUCCUCUCUGCUUGCUCUUUGUCCCUCACCACGGCGUCGUCUCCAUAGUGGAAAGAUAUACGGUACACAAAGGAAGAGUGUGAGCAGCUGUUGAAUUCAAGUGCAAACCUCCCUAAAACAACAUGACAAAAGUCUUUGAGACGGGUGAGAAAACACGGCUGCUACAGGCGACAGGAAGGCCCCCCAUCUUCGACCUUGGCACAAAAGUGGCUCAGAUGAGUCGGACAUCAAUCCCAGGGCCCUGCACCGUCUGUCCAGUUUGACAUUUACUGGCGAGGGGGCACACUGGUCAGAUGCUCAGUGGCAGGUCAGUGUGUAGGGCAGAGUCUGCAGCGUGGCGUACGCGUAGCCAGUAAGAGCGGCCAUCACGGUGACCAGGACCACACUUUUGGAGAGACAGAUGACGGACGCAGAGACCGUGAAGCUCACCAUGCUGCUCAGGUAGACCCACCGGGAGCCAAAAUGGCGAACCAGGCGACUCAUGAUCAGGGAGAAGAAGGUUGAGGUAGCACACUGCAGGAACAGGCCCAGGCUGCCCAUACGGAUACCUGAGAGGAAACGCAUCAUGUGUUACAACCAGGACACACAAUAAGGUCAGUAGGAAGGUAUGUAGGCAUGCAGGAACACAGGCGCUGUCUGCGUCCUCCACCUGUGCCGGAGGAAUGUGUGUGCAUCCUGCCCAGCUGGUGACGGAGCAGACGGCAAAGACAGGAUGGACGCUGUGCCAGGUUACAUGUUUACAGGUGGUGGAGGGGAGGACAUGUCAGAAGGUAGGUCUUCUGUUGAUGCAUAAUAAUGUCUCCAGUAGCAACAGAAUCAUUUUUGUAUUUACCAAUUCUUUUACCGCCUUGCAAUUUAUGCUUAUUUCUUUUAUUUCUCUCUCGUUUUGAUGUCUUAAUCAAACAUACUCAACUUUGUUUUCAUUGUUGUUCAUGAUUUGCUUAAUUGCAACUUAGAUCGGAAGCUUUUAUUCGAUUUUCCAGGGUUUUAUGAUCAUAUAUAUGUCGACUGGGAGAGUUGGCUUUUCGUCUGACAGAGGACUCAUUCUAGUGAUUUUUGAUACAUUUUUGAUGCUGGUGAUUUUUCCCUUCAAUUCAAACUUCCAUCCAUCCUUUAUCUAUACCGCUUUUCCCGUUCAGGGUUGCAGAAGGCUGGAGCCGAUCCCAACAGUCAUUGGGCGAGAGGCGGGGUUACACCCUGGACUGUUGGCCAGUCAAUCACAGACAGACAAAGUCACACUCACAUUCACACCGAGGGGCAAUUUUAGAGUCACCAGUUAACCUAACGAGCAUGUCUUUGGACUGUGGGAGGAAGCCGUAGUACCCGGAGAGAACCCAUCAUUGCAUGGGGGGAACAUGCAAACUCCACACAGAGAGGCUCCUGUCAGAUGGGGAUUUGAACCAUUAACUUUCUCUGGCUGUGCGGCAACAGCGCUAACCACUGCACCACCAGGCAGCCCCAAUUCAAACUCAUUUCUUGUAAAUUUGUGUGUUAUUGGUGUAUUGGGAAUCUUAUGUAUUUAAUUUAAUUUAGAUUCAAUUUCUCUUCCUAUUUUGACUGAUUAUUUAUUUCCAGUUUGGCACCUGGUGACGAUUGUUGAUAAAUGUCUCACACCCACAUUUGUCUUUAAAAAGGCUGAUGAAAGUGUCAGACUACAACACGUUCGUUUCAUUGAGCUGCUGUUUAUCUUCAUUAUUAUUAAAAGUUUCUAAAUGUA